rnacentral:tRNA from 1 species
GGGCGUUUAGCUCAGCUGGUUCAGAGCAUCUGCCUUACAAGCAGAGGGUCGGGGGUUCGAAUCCCUCUGCCCCCA